CAUGAGUUGAACCAUGUGCUUCCCAACAUGUGUUCUAUCCACCUUGCCUCACGCCCAAACUCACAGCGCAACCAUGGACAAAAGUCAUGAGCCAAAAUCCACCGCUCCUCCUGCUUUCAUUUGAGAAGUCCUGAAGAACCUUGCUCUCAGUGCCGCUUAGAAAGUCGUCUCUGCGCGGAUCCCUAGGUGUAGCUGUGUGGAACUCAGGCCGCUGCAGGUGGAGGCUCAUCCUGACCCUGUCUGCCGUCGCCACAUCACGCACAGAUCCUGGGAAACCCUGGUGCUCAGCACUUGCAGCAUCUCUCAGAUCUGUCUUGACUUGUAAGAGCAAAUCUGACACAGAUUAUAUAAUAAUCUGAAGCAGACCAUCUCAGGAAGAUUACCUGCUAGUAUUCAGCUUGUCCUGCUAUGGCUCCUGACAGAUCACCUGAGCAUGCCCGUCAGGGAUUGUCCUGACCGAGGUAAUUGGAAUGUGAAGCCCUGUGCACUGUUGGCAGCACGUUGCCUGAGCAUGUAUCCUGGGGCUGUAUAAAGGAAGAAAUGGAACCUAGCAGUAGUGUGCAUUUAUUGCUCUCUGUUCCAGAUUUUGGAUGUGAUGCAACCAGAUGCUUCAAGCUGCUGCUGCUUUGACUUCUGUCUUCUAAUGGAAUCUACAUUGAAACUAUAAG
rnacentral:sRNA from 1 species